AUGUUUGUGCCAGAAGUGUUCCCCUACAAAUCCUCUCAUCUAACUGAAGAUCUCUUCCUUUCCAGCAUUCAGUGUAGCCUUUUGUUGGAACUUUAGCAAACCAGACCAGUGAUAGAUGAAACACAUAAACAAACUUUAUUCUUCUUUAGUUCUAACAUCAGAAAUCUCACCGUGGCUCUCUUUUUACUUCAUUUUUUAGAAGAUUAUAAAGUCUGGGGCCAUUUUCAUGUUAAAAGCAGGAUGUUUUUGCUAUGCAAUGAAGGUUACUGUCUAAAAUUCACUAGCAACCUUUUAUGAGCGUUCUGUUUCAACCUAUUGCAUGUAUUUCAGGGGAUUUUUAUCCUUAACGAAACGUGAAUUGUGCCAGCCAGGCAAAACCACGGCCUGAUCUUUGGAGUGGCGACUGAGAAGAAUAUUUCCAGGCAUUUUCUAACUGUAACCCAGACUUUCUCAACCUUGACACUUCCGACUUUCUGGGUCAUGGUUGCCCCGCCCCGCAGACUGGUUUGGGUCUUGGAGCUGAUGCUGCCACACACACACCGGGAAGACGUGACAGGACUGAGAACCCACAUCGCAGGAUUGCCCGGUGAGGACAGAGCAGGCUCAACACAGGUUCUAACUGGAAAACAAUGUGUGCUUCUCAGAUAGCACAUCCUGGCAGAAAGUUAAGAUUUCCAUCCUAGAGAGCGACACAGACUGGCAUAACUCAGUAUCUCUUCUCAUGGUUGCAAGAAUGCUGCUGUGGCUCCAAGCAUCACAUCCCCAGCAAAAAUAUCCCAAAAGGAAGGAAAAGGAAGGGCCAGAGGGCUCUGUUCUUGAGAUGAAUUAGACCCCAAAAGUCUUGUCCAAGUUGAAGAAAAAGUGUGAAGAACCCCUUGGACUUAGAUCAAAUUUGCUUUUAAUUCUAUUUACUCCAGAAACAGCUAUUGAUAAUAAACUAUGCAAAAAAUAUUGUUAUCGGUCUAGAAUAUGAGUGGGUAGAGACAGUUUCCCAUACCUCCUUUCCCCCUCCCAGAGAAAGUCUUGAAGUUCCGUGGUCUCGGAAGGUCACACGGUGUGACACAUCUACCAGGGGCAUGAAAAACAGUAUAUUAGGUCUGCCACAUUUUAUAGUUUCACCCACCUGAAGUCAGAG